UGUCCCCAGCAGAGUCGCCAGCUCAACUAACUGAGUUAAUCACAAACUCAGUUGGUUAUUUUAUUCUCACUCAGUUAGUUGGGAAAAAAUGUUGACAGUUGUAGGGUUGGUUUAAGUUUCAGUUAAUUCUUUUCUACGUCAGUUGGAGAGGAUUGUGAGGUAGGGUUUGGUUUUUUUUUUAGUUCUAUUUAGGUGGAGGAGUUAGUUAUGAAGUGUUGUUCAGCUGGUUGGUGAGGGAUUCAAUUGUGCGUCUCUUGGCAGUGGUUCUUAACCUUCUUUAUUCUUCUAUUACCAAGUUGUUGAGUGGUUCCAUUCGGAUGCGGAUCGAAUCCGUGGUGAAGGUGUUCGGUUUCGCAUAGCCGUCGCUUGGGACGCUUCCUGCUUGCUAUUCUCAUUUCCUGUUUUUCUGUGGUAUAGAAGUUCUUGUAUGACAACGUCUCUUCAACGUUAUCAAUCCCACACCUGUCAUUGGCGGAAGCUGUUUUCUUUGUAGCAGAUAGAGAGUAUCGGCCUUCACUUGGAGCAAUACUUCUGAGUAUAAGCCUUUUGACAACACCUUUGUAAGUAGUUAUAAAGCAGAACCACCUGUCUCAAAAGUCCUCUCCUUCGAUAGUUCAGCAUCACUUUGCCACUUCCCGAGCUUUCUAUAAACCUUCAGCAACUUCAACGGUCACUCUCUGACCCAAAUGAACAACCUUACUCGAUUCCACGCACUUGUUAUAGCACCGCUGUGCAUUUUCUACUGUCAUGAGCUUGUUUGGUAUCAUAAUAAGGUUAGGUUAACUUGGAGUUGCAAGGUUUAAUUUGGCAUGUGGAUUGCUGAACUUUGUAGUGAAUUUCUUCGAUCAUGCUUUGAUCCACAUUGCAAUGCAGGAACUGGUGUUGAAUGAUUUUCCAACUGGUUAAUCAGCAGGAUAUUUGUUUGGCUCAGUACUGAAUUUGAGUGCAGGUCCAUUAGCAUAUUACAGAAUGGUGGCGCAUCCUGCAGAAAUGGCAUGCCCUUCAUGUCACCUGGUUUGGCCUGUGCAUAAAUGCAAGUUGCUUGUUUUCUUUGCUCACCUUUCUUGUACAUGAAUGGUUCUGCAGGUGGAUCUGGUUAAAAUGGUGAGUGCAGUGAAAAUGUUUUGUUGAUGUGCUUACUGCUUUGCUUCUUGGCGAAUGACCGUAAUUCUCUCUGAACUUAACGACAGGUUUUGUUCCCACAAGCAUCAUUAGUCAUAGAGUUAUGGUGUAUGGUUCCUUAUAACCUGCAGAUGCAGGUUUUGCUGCGAGUUACCGGUUAUCAAUUGUUCGACGACCAUGUCGCUCGGCCAAGGUAGGUAACAGGCUUUGUUGAAAUUCGCCUGGAAGCUGCGAGCAGCGGGAUGGUUAGUGCAGGGUAUUCCAGCUCUGUUGAAGCAAAGAGUUUGAUUCAGGAUCAUAGUACUUCUUUGUUGCGGGAAUACCCGCCGUUACAUGAUAGCUAUUGAAGAGCUUGUAACAGGUAGUGCACCGGAAGUAAGCAAAGCGGAUUCUGCCAUGGCAAUGUGAGGGUCAUGAAAAGAACUGGCGGCAGCUUCUGAUUCAAUUGGCUGAGGUUGUUUUGGCUAUUAUGCAUAUAUCCAUAUUGCAUGCUAUGAUACAUUUGAUAUGGCAUUAGCUUGUAGUUGGUACUGAGAUAAAGCUAUGUGCUUGAAUUUUGUACAUGCCAACUUUGAGUAGCCACAAAUCGGUAGGAGGAACAGUGACUUGAAGUUGGUCUUGCCCAUGAUUACACUGCUGAACUUGCGGUGCAUUUGCUAUGGAAGAUGAGCCUAAUGUGGGAUAAGUUACAAUUGGUUGUCUAAAUAAACUUUACCGAAGUAUGACAAAUCUUGACAAUGAGCGCAUGAAAAACUAAGAUAAUUAAAGACAUGCUAUUGAAUCCAAUUUGUUACAUAAAUUUCUACUGUUCCACUAUUAUGGUUUUAUAUAAAGGGCACACAAGUACUGAAUAUAUGUCACAAAGAAAACUAUAUUAAUGG